rnacentral:rRNA from 1 species
GUGACCUCAAAUCAGGUAGGACUACCCGCUGAACUUAAGCU